rnacentral:rRNA from 1 species
ACGGAAGGCAGCAGUGAGGAAUAUUGGUCAAUGGCCGGAAGGCUGAACCAGCCAAGUAGCGUGAGGGAUGACCGCCCUAUGGGUCGUAAACCUCUUUUGACAGGGAAUAAAGUGAGGCACGUGUGCCUUUUCGCAUGUACCUGUCGAAUAAGCAUCGGCUAACUCCGUGCCAGCAGCCGCGGUAAUACGGAGGAUGCGAGCGUUAUCCGGAUUUAUUGGGUUUAAAGGGAGCGUAGGCGGAAGGUCAAGUCAGCUGUGAAAUGUAGUCGCUCAACGUCUGCACUGCAGUUGAAACUGGCCUCCUUGAGUGCGUAAGAGGCGGGCGGAAUUCGUCGUGUAGCGGUGAAAUGCUUAGAUAUUACGAAGAACUCCGAUUGCGUAGGCAGCUUACCAGGCCGGCAAUGACGCUCAUGCACGAAAGUGCGGGGAUCGAACAGGAUUAGAUACCCUGGUA